rnacentral:sRNA from 3 species
AUAUCUCUCUGUACGGGAAGGAUGAGAAGCUUCGACUAAGGUUCGAUUCGAGCGCAGCGAGAAAGCGUUGCCGCAGGCAACGACCCGAAGGGCGAAGCGCGCAGCGCUGAGUAAUCCUUCCCCCACCAC